rnacentral:other from 1 species
CACUCCCUGCAUGAUGCGUGAUGCCGUUUGUUUUUAACCCACAAAAAACAAAACGGGAAUCCGGGCUCCUUUUGCGGUUUGCAGGCCUCCCGCUGCUCCUUUGCGGCGGAUGUUGGAAGCAGUAAAGCACAAGGGAGGAUUUUACCCACCCUACUACACAAGUAGGUUAUAACCCGCGGCACACGGUCACGGCGGGGAGUGU